GAUGAACGCUGGCGGCGUGCCUAAUACAUGCAAGUCGAGCGAACAGACGAGGAUCUUGCUCCUCUGACGUUAGCGGCGGACGGGUGAGUAACACGUGGAUAACCUACCUAUAAGACUGGGAUAACUUCGGGAAACCGGAUCUAAUACCGGAUAAUAUAUUGAACCGCAUGGUUCAAUAGUGAAAGACGGUUUUGCUGUCACUUAUAGAUGGAUCCGCGCCGCAUUAGCUAGUUGGUAAGGUAACGGCUUACCAAGGCAACGAUGCGUAGCCGACCUGAGAGGGUGAUCGGCCACACUGGAACUGAGACACGGUCCAGACUCCUACGGGAGGCAGCAGUAGGGAAUCUUCCGCAAUGGGCGAAAGCCUGACGGAGCAACGCCGCGUGAGUGAUGAAGGUCUUCGGAUCGUAAAACUCUGUUAUUAGGGAAGAACAAAUGUAUAAGUAACUAUGCACGUCUUGACGGUACCUAAUCAGAAAGCCACGGCUAACUACGUG
rnacentral:rRNA from 1 species